AGCAGCCGCGGUAAUUCCAGUUCCAAUAGCGUAUAUUAAAGUUGUUGCAGUUAAAAAGCUCGUAGUUGAAUUUCGGGGUUAGUAAGUUGGUCAUGCCUUCGGUAUGUACUGGCUUUACUGAUUCCUCCUUCUUGACGAACCGUGAUGUCAUUAAUUUGGUGUUGCGGGAAAUCAGGACUGUUACUUUGAAAAAAUUGAGUGUUUAAAGCAGGCUAACGCUUGAAUACAUUAGCAUGGAAUAAUGAAAUAGGACGUUAAUCCUAUUUUGUUGGUUUCUAGGAUCGACGUAAUGAUUAAUAGGGAUAGUUGGGGGCAUUAGUAUUCAAUUGUCAGAGGUGAAAUUCUUGGAUUUAUUGAAGACUAACUACUGCGAAAGCAUUUGCCAAGGAUGUUUCAUUAAUCAAGAACGAAAGUUAGGGGAUCGAAGACGAUCAGAUACCGUCGUAGUCUUAACCAUAAACUAUGCCAACUAGGGAUCGGAUGAUGUUAUUUUAUGACUCAUUCGGCGUCCGUUACGGGG
rnacentral:rRNA from 1 species